rnacentral:rRNA from 1 species
GAUGAACGCUAGCUACAGGCUUAACACAUGCAAGUCGAGGGGAAACGCCAUCGAAAGCUUGCUUUUGAUGGGCGUCGACCGGCGCACGGGUGAGUAACGCGUAUCCAACCUGCCCAUCACUUGGGAAUAACCUUGCGAAAGUAAGACUAAUACCCAAUGAUAUCCCACGAAGGCAUCGGAAUGGGAUUAAAGAUUUAUCGGUGAUGGAUGGGGAUGCGUCUGAUUAGCUUGUUGGCGGGGUAACGGCCCACCAAGGCAACGAUCAGUAGGGGUUCUGAGAGGAAGGUCCCCCACAUUGGAACUGAGACACGGUCCAAACUCCUACGGGAGGCAGCAGUGAGGAAUAUUGGUCAAUGGGCGAGAGCCUGAACCAGCCAAGUAGCGUGCAGGAGGACGGCCCUAUGGGUUGUAAACUGCUUUUAUAAGGGAAUAAAGUGGGUCACGUGUGACUUUUUGCAUGUACCUUAUGAAUAAGGACCGGCUAAUUCCGUG